rnacentral:pre_miRNA from 1 species
UGAGGUAGUAGGUUGUAUAGUUUAGAGUAACAUCACAGGAGGUAGCUGUACAAUCUCCUAGCUUUAC